AGAGUUGCAUGCAGUAGACCCGAAACCGGGUGAUCUAGCCAUGACCAGGUUGAAGUUGGGGUAAAACCCGAUGGAGGACCGAACCGACCCCCGUUGAAACGUUGGCGGAUGAGUUGUGGCUAGGGGUGAAAUUCCAAUCGAACCCGGAGAUAGCUGGUUCUCCCCGAAAUAGCUUUAGGGCUAGCGUCGAGGUAAGUUGCGUGAAGGUAGAGCACUGAAUAUGUGAUGGCCCCAUCUCGGGGUACUGAGCAUAAUCAAACUGCGAAUGUCACGCCAACAUGCUCGGCAGUCAGACAGCGGGUGAUAAGGUCCGUUGUCAAGAGGGAAACAGCCCAGACCAUCAGCUAAGGUCCCAAAAUGUAUGCUAAGUGGAAAAGGAUGUGGAGAUGUACAGACAACUAGGAGGUUGGCUCAGAAGCAGCCAUCCUUUAAAGAGUGCGUAACAGCUCACUAGUCGAAUGACUCUGCGCCGAUAAUUUACCGGGGCUAAGCAUACUACCGAAGCUAUGGAUCCCAAGGGAUGGUAGGGGAGCGUUCCAUGAACGGAGAAGUACGACCGAAAGGACGUGUGGAGAUCAUGGAAGAGAGAAUGCCGGUGUGAGUAGCGGAACGUGGGUGAGAAUCCCACGCACCGAAAACCCAAGGUUUCCAGAGGAAGGUUCGUCCGCUCUGGGUAAGUCGGGACCUAAGGCGAGGCCGAAAGGCGUAGUCGAUGGACAACAGGUAGAGAUUCCUGUACCCGUAUAUAUGUGAAGGAAUGACGGAGAGAGGAAGCUGCAGCCAGCGGCUGGAAGAGCUGGUGCAAGCGAGAUAUCGGGAUGGCAGGCAAAUCCACCAUCCGAAACGAGAAGGCGUGAAGCGUACGGAAAGCUACGGCGAGUACGGAAGGCAGUGGAGGAACUUCCAAGAAAAGUUUCUAACGUUAAGUAUAUAUGGCCCGUACCGAAAAUGGACACACAUGGGUGAGGAGAGAAUCCUAAGGUGAGCGAGAGAACUAUAGCUAAGGAACUCUGCAAAAUGACUCCGUAACUUAGGGAGAAGGAGUGCUCAUAGAGAUAUGAGCCGCAGUGAAACGGCCCAAGCGACUGUUUACCAAAAACACAGCUCUCUGCUAAGCCGCAAGGCGAAGUAUAGGGGGUGACGCCUGCCCGGUGCUGGAAGGUUAAGGGGAGGGGUUAACGCAAGUGAAGCCCUGAACUGAAGCCCCAGUAAACGGCGGCCGUAACUAUAACGGUCCUAAGGUAGCGAAAUUCCUUGUCAGGUAAGUUCUGACCCGCACGAAAGGCGUAACGAUUUGGGCGCUGUCUCAGCUGUAGACUCGGUGAAAUCUUAGUACCUGUGAAGAUGCAGGUUACCCGCGACUAGACGGAAAGACCCCAUGGAGCUUCACUGCAGGUUGAUAUUGGGAUUUGAUGCAGCAUGUACAGGAUAGGUAGGAGGCAAAGAGAUGGAUACGCCAGUAUUCAAGGAGCCGCUGUUGGGAUACUACCCCUGUUGUAUUGGAUUUCUAACCGGACGACGUAGAGCCGUUGACGGGACAGUGUCAGUCGGGCAGUUUGACUGGGGC
rnacentral:rRNA from 1 species